GUAGGUGGCAAGCGUUGUCCGGAAUUAUUGGGCGUAAAGCGCGCGCAGGUGGUUCUUUAAGUCUGAUGUGAAAGCCCCCGGGCUCAACCGGGGAGGGUCAUUGGAAACUGGGGAACUUGAGUGCAGGAGAGGAAAGUGGAAUUCCACGUGUAGCGGUGAAAUGCGUAGAUAUGUGGAGGAACACCAGUGGCGAAGGCAACUUUCUGGCCUGUAACUGACACUGAGGCGCGAAAGCGUGGGGAGCAAACAGGAUUAGAUACCCUGGUAGUCCACGCCGUAAACGAUGAGUGCUAAGUGUUGGGGGGUUUCCGCCCCUCAGUGCUGCAGCUAACGCAUUAAGCACUCCGCCUGGGGAGUACGGUCGCAAAGACUG
rnacentral:rRNA from 1 species